rfam:Candidatus Pacearchaeota archaeon CG1_02_32_21 cg1_0.2_scaffold_5386_c, whole genome shotgun sequence.
UUAGACAGCCACAGUAGUCAGGCUCCACCUGUUCCCAUUCCGAACACAGAAGUUAAGCUGAUUACGUCUGACAUUAGUUUCGCAAGAAGUGAAAAUCAGAUGCUGUCACCU